UUAAAAUUUUUAAACUUAAGUCUGACCCGCCCGACCAGCGCCACCUCCAUUAGAAGCGUUAAGCAAAUGUAGAUGCAUACUCCCUCCCCACCCACUUAGGGAUAGUCUCGCGCGCGCGUGUGCUCAUAUUCAGACAUUUUGAUUCGACUUUCAACAAUCACUUCUUCUGUCUGAAGUCUAUACCCUAAUCUAUCGAACCCCCGAACUCUUCGAUUUUUCACCUAUCCAAACCCCGAUGUCGAGUCCCUGUGGUGCUGCCAAAGACGGCGAAGGCGACUGCAGAGAUUCCAGAGGAGCCGCCUUCGCUAAAACGGCAGGGUUUGUGGUCUUUUCGGGCAUUGCAAUGAGCGUUUAACCCAUUUAACCCACUCAACAAAAAUAGAAAAAUGAAACCAGUCAGCCAAUGGCUGAGUCCAUUCAGCCCUGCCGACCUCCUCCCCAAUCCCAACCGCAGAUGCCUGUAUUUGUAAAGUUUGAAACCUAAUAGUUGUGCGGAUCAACGUGAACCUGAAUCAAGAUCAUGUACGACAAUCGAUAUAGUGAAAGGAGAUACAAUGUGGGGUCUCUCGAGAAAAUAUGGGGUGUCGAUUGAUGCAAUCAAAGAGGCUAAUGGACUUACAGGGGACACCAUCAAUGCUGGUAAGAAGCUCAUUAUUCCAUGAUGUAAUUUCUAGCUCUUUUCAUCUGUUUCAACAUGUAAUUUUUCUCAUGAUUUGAGAUGUGUAUUUGGCAAACCUGGAGUUGUAGCAUGUACCUAUUUUGUUUAUAAUUUUGACAUGUAAAGUAUUGAACUAACUAGGGCUAGGUUCGAACCAAAUUUGUUAGAGUUUGAGUUUGAUUCAAACGAACCAAAUUUAAACGAGCCCAAACUCGAGCUAGGUAGCUAAGCUGCUCACGAGCCA